GCCCAACGUCCUCACCAGCAGCCACCUGCGCAGCAGCAAUGGCACCUACAGCUUCUCCAGGUUCUUCCUGCUGACAGCAACCCUACGUGACAAUGGCCACACCUACACGUGCCGCGUGGAGCACUCCAGCCUGCAGGCACCCAUCCGGAGGAGCAUCACCGUGGCAGUGAGAGAAGCAACCUCCACCACCUGGCUGCUGCUGCUGCUGCU
rnacentral:lncRNA from 1 species